rnacentral:lncRNA from 1 species
AUGACAUAAUAUUAUGGUCUUUCUCUUUUUAUUUCAUUUUUUAAAAAUUGUGAUGCAACAGGCAGGGACAGGGGAGAAAAGAUGGAGGAGCAUUAAUGGAAAAAUCUCCAUGGUAACAGCAGGCUUUUGCCUCUUUUAUCAUUUUCAAGAUCUCGCUCCUGAUUGGUUCCAACCCUUUUCUCUAUUUUCCUACAUAUACUCAGCCACUCAGAGACAACCAUAGCUGAAAGCUCUAUUCACAUAAAAAAAAUCCAAUAAUGCUCCUGGUUGGUGUCUAGAUUUCAGCUAGUACCAGGCUCUUGCUGUAGAUUGACAACAAGCUGCUCUUUCGAGAAGGAGGCAUACAGAAAAUGAAAAGAAAACGUCGUCAUGGUCAGGUAACUUGCUAUGAAUCAUCACAUUCUGCUCUGAAUGAAACUGCUCUUGUUUACUGUGCAAGGUAUUUGUUAUUGCUUUUGGUCAUUGUUUCAGGUUUAAGAUCUAUCAUUCAGGACUCGGCCUUGAAGUUCUGUUUCAUCUGGAAGGAUGGUGUAUUACUUCACCCUUUAGGAUCUGACAGAGACAGGAGACCUGUUGCUCUGUAAUAUGCUUUGGAGAAUAAGAUCUGUAAAGGAUUUUUAUAUCAAAAGAGCAGUUCUCACCUCCCACCCUGGGACUUUCUGAAACAUUCUUGGAUAUUACCUUACCUACUAUGCCACUACACUCUGAGAGUACUAAAGCUCAAAUAUGGCAAUUCCCCCUUGCAUCAAAAAUCUCAGGGGCUUUACAUUACAUUUCCAUCCAAAUUCUAAUAUCAGGUUUACUUUAUUAUUGUUGCUAAAAAACAAAAUUCUAUGUUCAU